ensembl:lncRNA
AAAAGGUAACAGAGCCAGACCUUUGUCCCAGAGCCAGACCUCCACCUCCUCACCCAGAGCCAGACCUCCACCUCCUCACCCAGAGCCAGACCUCCAGACCUCCUGUCAGAAGUCCUCCAGAACAGGGUGGACCGGAGACUGAGGCUGGAGACCAGGGGCCUGCAGCACCGGACCAGAGGACCAGGACUCUGUCUGAGGAGAGCUGCUGGAGGAGCUGAGACGCUGGAGGACGACUAGGAAUCGACCAACAAGGAUUCCUCGUAAGUUUGUAUUUACUUGCAUGGUUGACUUAAAGGGCAAAAUACAGCUGUUACUUUGACAUGCGUUAACCAACUACCGCUGUGUUUUCUUACUAGAACGUGUUUCUGGAGCGGAGGCGAGCUGGUAGGGGAGCCGUGAAUCUGGAGGAUGACCAUCACUCUACCAACAAGGAUUGGCCAGACUCGCGCUGUUUGUUCCAGACCAGGACUCUGGCUGAGGAGAGCUGAUGGAGGAGCCAAGACUCUGGAGGACGACAUCACUCCACCAACCAGGAUCCUUACCAGGAAUCUGGAGGACUGAUGGAGAAGCCGUACAUCUGGAAGGCAAAUCCUGAGGACCACCAGGACUCUACCAUCAAGGAUUCCUCAUAAAUUUGCAUUAUCUGGACAUAGUGGACUAGACACACCUGAGCUGAACCUCACCUGAUCCUGUUUGGUCGGGGGUAGACACACCUGAGCUAAACCCGCCCUGAUCCUGACAUCCUGCUGGUCCCGUCUCCUCAGUUCAUCUGAGCCUCGUCCUCCAGAAGACCUGCUGAGCUCAGCAGUCUGAGGCUGAUGGAUCAAUGACCUCCAGUGGGAGUGAUCUUCUUGACCCCACAUGUAACCGUGUGCUUCCACACGCCUUUCCCUCACGUCUGUCACUAACCUCACUACUUCACUACUCUCUACUGCUUCCUCUUC